rnacentral:lncRNA from 1 species
AUCGAGCGUAUCGUCACGGCGCUGAGAACUAUUUUUAGCAUGUAUCAUUACUUGCAAGAAUUAAUGAGUCAUUGACAACCUGGUGUUUCAGGGAAGCUGUCGAUUAGUAGUCUGUGGUUAAUCCGGUCCCCGGUCACAAAAAAACUUACAUUUUAAACUCAAAUUUCUAACAUGGGACAAGUCAAAGUCCACGUUGUUUAUUGUGGCGGAUGAGGUUACGCCCCCAGGUUUCGUAUGAUGGCACAACGUCUUACGGAAAGGUUUGGGGGCGAAAUUGAGAUUACAGCGGAAAGGAAUCCUUCACUCACUAACAAGUUUGAAGUCACGGUCAAUGGCAAGCUGGUGCAUUCUAAACUGAAAGGAAGUGGCUUUGUUGACACUGAAGAGAAGCUGCAAGUGAUCAUAAAGGCCAUUGAAGAGGCUAUGCAAUAAUGCUACUGGUGUGAUUUGAAACUCAUCUUGUUAAAAAGAAGCCAGGUCUUGGAGCAUUAAUCACCUUGGGUGUCCUGAGUGUGACGAAACUGGAUGAAAGUCAGCCGACAUAUCCACUUUCUGAUGGUUGCUGGCAGCCCAACCUGAUUACUUGUUCCAUUCUGGAUUCUUUUUAAUUCAUGACAUUAGUGUGUUAGUCUUGCCAAGUAUUUUGUUUCUGUUGAUAUUUUUAUAUUUUACAUAGUUUUGCAUGGUGUAUUUGUAUGCCUUUAUUUUGAACUGAUUUUUAAGAUAAUGCUAUAUAAUUCUAUAUUUUAAAAAGCCUUUCUGUUAUAUACAUUUGUACAUGUAUAUUGGUCUUUCUUGUAUUACGCCAACAUGUCUCAAUGAAUUAAUGAUUUAUGAAGUGGAGUCUUCCCAAAGCUAAGUUUAAAUAUUUAUCAUAAUUUUUACUGAGGUGUAUGCUCACGAGUCAUCUACAAAAUAUAACCAGUUUAUUUAUAUUUAAUAAUUUUAAAAUAUAUGAAGAAUUCAGGCACAAAACGCAAUAUAAACCAUUUUCUUUCUGGUUUUUAGUUAAAGCCAUUAUUGUAAGUCUGUAAGGGCUAAUCGUAGGCCCGCUGAUUUGCCGCAAAACAAGAUUGAUCCUUACGAAUUUGUAUUGGGUAAAUCCCGGUUUUUUGUAUAAAAAUGUGAUAUACGCCAAUUAAAAACAUCACUUUUACUGAAAAUGAAAAAUGGAUAUAUCGCGUUUUGCACCUGAACUCUUCAUAUAUUGUAUGAAUAUAAGCCUAUCAAGACUGUAACACUUUGGUACAUCAUUAAGAAUACUUGCUGGCAGUAGUGUUUUUGAUGAUUGAUUUAUUAUAAAACUUUUAAUAGAUGGGUUCUAGUGAUUUGAUGAUUAAUUUGAUGAAAUCCAUAAUUGAUUGUCAUGGAAAAUGUUAAAAGUAUCACUCUAAAUGGUGAAAUUCAUGUAAAGUUUGCUGGGAAUUUGGUUGUUUUACCUGUGUAAGUAAGGAACAUGAAUACUGAAUAGGUAUUAAAACUAAAUUAAGCAAAAUACAUGUAUGUAGGACCUAUAUUUGUGAAAAUGAUGGAAAAGGUAAAUUCAAAUAAAUCAUUGCUACGUUCAUACAAAACCUGACCAAGUAAUGUGAGUAAUAAUAAUAAUAAUAAUAAUAAUAAUAAUAAUAAUAAUCUUUAUAAUCUUUAUACUCAAAUUCUCAAAAGUUGAUCUGUUAAAUCAAAUUGAUUAUAUUGUAUACCUGAUGAUCAACAAUUAAAUUCCAACCAAGCAUUUUCUCUCAUCAAGAAAGACAACUCUGUUUAAGAUACUUGCAUUCAGUUUUGAUAAUGACAGAAGACUGGACAAAUAAACAAAUGAAACACUAUACAAAUUAAACCUUGAGAUGUGUAUGCUAUUUUCUGGAGAGAAAAAAAAGAUUUUUUUUUUUAUCAGGGGUGCAACUGCCCCCCUGCCCCUCCCCCAGAGGGUACGGCUGUGAACAAGCAAUAUCAGUCAAAACCUCAGGGAAUUUCUUUGUGAUCAUUAGCUGACAAUUCUUAGAUAGAAAAGAAAAGGAAAACCUUGUUCCAUUAACUGUUUGCAAAGUAAGUACAUGUAAUUUGUGUGCAAAUAUUUAACCAAUGGUAACUGAUGUUGUUCCAAGGUAAUAGUCAUCUACGCAUUUAAAAUUACUUAAUAAUAUUAUAUUGUUCAGCCUGUUAAAAGUCUUGUAAACAAUUAAAAAAUUGCUACAAGACUAUUUAUAUUUAACUUAAUAGUGAAUAUUUCAAACUCAAAUAAUGCAAAUACUAGACCUCAACUUAGGUUUUCGCUUUUCAUAUUAUAUGUAGAAUGCUUACGAUAGUUUGGUCAUCUGCUAGUCACAAAUAUAUAGAUAUAUAAUAACCUGUGUAUCAUAUAUGUACUUGUUUAUUAAAAAGAAAUGGAACUUGCA